UACGUAGGGUGCGAGCGUUGUCCGGAAUUACUGGGCGUAAAGAGCUCGCAGGUGGUUUGUCGCGUUGUUCGUGAAAACUCACAGCUCAACUGUGGGCGUGCGGGCGAUACGGGCAGACUGGAGUACUGCAGGGGAGACUGGAAUUCCUGGUGUAGCGGUGGAAUGCGCAGAUAUCAGGAGGAACACCGGUGGCGAAGGCGGGUCUCUGGGCAACAACUGACGCUGAGGAGCGAAAGCGUGGGGAGCGAACAGG
rnacentral:rRNA from 1 species